UACGUAGGGUGCGAGCGUUAAUCGGAAUUACUGGGCGUAAAGCGCACGUAGGCGGGUUGUUAAGUCAGGGGUGAAAUCCUGGAGCUCAACUCCAGAACUGCCUUCGAUACUGGCGAUCUUGAGUCCGGGAGAGGUGAGUGGAACUGCGAGUGUAGAGGUGAAAUUCGUAGAUAUUCGCAAGAACACCAGUGGCGAAGGCGGCUCACUGGCCCGGUACUGACGCUGAGGUGCGAAAGCGUGGGGAGCAAACAGGG
rnacentral:rRNA from 1 species